AUAUUGGGCGUAGAGCUCGUAGGCGGUUUGUCGCGUCUGCUGUGAAAUCCCGAGGCUCAACCUCGGGCUUGCAGUGGGUACGGGCAGACUAGAGUGCGGUAGGGGAGAUUGGAAUUCCUGGUGUAGCGGUGGAAUGCGCAGAUAUCAGGAGGAACACCGAUGGCGAAGGCAGAUCUCUGGGCCGUAACUGACGCUGAGGAGCGAAAGCGUGGGGAGCGAACAGGAUUAGAUACCCUGGUAGUCCACGCCGUAAACGUUGGGCGCUAGAUGUAGGGACCUUUCCACGGUUUCUGUGUCGUAGCUAACGCAUUAAGCGCCCCGCCUGGGGAGUACGGCCGCAAGGCUAAAACUCAAAGGAAUUGACGGGGGCCCGCACAAGCGGCGGAGCAUGCGGAUUAAUUCGAUGCAACGCGAAGAACCUUACCAAGGCUUGACAUACACCGGAAACGGCCAGAGAUGGUCGCCCCCUUGUGGUCGGUGUACAGGUGGUGCAUGGUUGUCGUCAGCUCGUGUCGUGAGAUGUUGGGUUAAGUCCCGCAACGAGCGCAACCCUCGUUCUAUGUUGCCAGCGCGUUAUGGCGGGGACUCAUAGGAGACUGCCGGGGUCAACUCGGAGGAAGGUGGGGAUGACGUCAAAUCAUCAUGCCCCUUAUGUCUUGGGCUUCACGCAUGCUACAAUGGCCGGUACAAAGGGCUGCGAUACCGUAAGGUGGAGCGAAUCCCAAAAAGCCGGUCUCAGUUCGGAUUGAGGUCUGCAACUCGACCUCAUGAAGUCGGAGUCGCUAGUAAUCGCAGAUCAGCAACGCUGCGGUGAAUACGUUCCCGGGCCUUGUACACACCGCCCGUCAAGUCAUGAAAGUCG
rnacentral:rRNA from 2 species